rnacentral:lncRNA from 1 species
UCCAGUUACUCAGAAGGUUCACAUUAGCAGAGAUGUAAUUGUGAAUGAAGAAGAGAAAUGGAAAUGAGAGAAGGAACCAGUGUACAAUAGUGAAUUGCAGUCAACUUUCAUCUAUCCAAGUUCAAGUGAUGAAUCUGGUGGAGGUGAUGAAGGUGAACCUGCUGCUGAAACUAUUCAGAAUCAAGGUACUGAUAGUGAUGGUAAUAUGAAUUUAUCAAGUGAUGAUGAUGAUAGAAUUCAUAUGAUUGCAAGGA